GAUGAACGCUGGCGGCGUGCCUAAUACAUGCAAGUCGAGCGAACGGACGAGAAGCUUGCUUCUCUGAUGUUAGCGGCGGACGGGUGAGUAACACGUGGAUAACCUACCUAUAAGACUGGGAUAACUUCGGGAAACCGGAGCUAAUACCGGAUAAUAUUAUGAACCGCAUGGUUCAAAAGUGAAAGACGGUCUUGCUGUCACUUAUAGAUGGAUCCGCGCUGCAUUAGCUAGUUGGUAAGGUAACGGCUUACCAAGGCAACGAUGCAUAGCCGACCUGAGAGGGGAACGGGCAACAUGGAAAAGGAGAAACGGUCCAGACUACAAAGGGAGGCAGAAGAAGGAAAUCUACCGAAAUGGGCAAAGGCCUAACGAAGAAACGCCGCGUGAGUGAUAAAGGUCUUGGAAUCAUAAAACUCUGUAAUGAGGAAGAACAUAUGUGUAAGUAACUGUGCACAUCUUGACGGUACCUAAUCAGAAAGCCACGGCUAACUACGU
rnacentral:rRNA from 1 species